rnacentral:lncRNA from 1 species
UGGUGGUGGGGGGAAUACAAGUAAUUUUGUCGUAGAGUAUAAUAUGGUAAUUUGUGCCUCUUCUCUUUUUUAAUAUUUUUAAAAUUUUAUUAAUCUUAUAUGUCUAAUGUUUGAAUAUACAAAUCCAUGUAUGAAGAAAGCAAAAGCAACAUACAAUAUUCAUUAAUUUUGUGGCCAGGUAAAUGAUUGUUUAGUUAUUGGAUAAGAAGGCUUGGCUGUCAAUUGAUGUUCUUAUCAGCCAGAUUUGUUGGAGGCUUCCUAAUUUAAGUAGUCUUCCACACUUUUCUACCUAUAUAUAUAGCUUACGUUUAUAGGUAACUCACCUUAAUCUGCAUGUGUCGUCUCCCCAGAUCAAGGAAUAAUAUCUGUAGUCGUGAGAAGCUUCAAGUAAUUAAUUACUAGUCGACUAAAGAAAAAAACCUAGACGUUUGUG